AGUGAACGCUGGCGGUAGGCCUAACACAUGCAAGUCGAACGGCAGCACAGUAAGAGCUUGCUCUUACGGGUGGCGAGUGGCGGACGGGUGAGGAAUACAUCGGAAUCUACUUUUUCGUGGGGGAUAACGUAGGGAAACUUACGCUAAUACCGCAUACGACCUACGGGUGAAAGCAGGGGAUCUUCGGACCUUGCGCGAUUGAAUGAGCCGAUGUCGGAUUAGCUAGUUGGCGGGGUAAAGGCCCACCAAGGCGACGAUCCGUAGCUGGUCUGAGAGGAUGAUCAGCCACACUGGAACUGAGACACGGUCCAGACUCCUACGGGAGGCAGCAGUGGGGAAUAUUGGACAAUGGGCGCAAGCCUGAUCCAGCCAUACCGCGUGGGUGAAGAAGGCCUUCGGGUUGUAAAGCCCUUUUGUUGGGAAAAAAAAGCAGCAGGUUAAUACCCCGCUGUUCUGACGUUACCCAAAGAAUAAGCACCGGCUAACUUCGUG
rnacentral:rRNA from 1 species